CCUACGGGAGGCAGCAGUGGGGAAUAUUGGACAAUGGGCGAAAGCCUGAUCCAGCAAUGCCGCGUGAGUGAUGAAGGCCCUAGGGUUGUAAAGCUCUUUUACCCGGGAAGAUAAUGACUGUACCGGGAGAAUAAGCCCCGGCUAACUCCGUGCCAGCAGCCGCGGUAAU
rnacentral:rRNA from 3 species